rnacentral:rRNA from 1 species
CCUACGGGAGGCAGCAGUGGGGAAUCUUGCGCAAUGGGCGAAAGCCUGACGCAGCCAUGCCGCGUGAAUGAUGAAGGUCUUAGGAUUGUAAAAUUCUUUCACCGGGGACGAUAAUGACGGUACCCGGAGAAGAAGCCCCGGCUAACUUCGUGCCAGCAGCCGCGGUAAUACGAAGGGGGGCUAGCGUUGCUCGGAAUUACUGGGCGUAAAGGGAGCGUAGGCGGAUAGUUUAGUCAGAGGUGAAAGCCCAGGGCUCAACCUUGGAAUUGCCUUUGAUACUGGCUAUCUUGAGUAUGGGAGAGGUUAGCGGAACUCCGAGUGUAGAGGUGAAAUUCGUAGAUAUUCGGAAGAACACCAGUGGCGAAGGCGGCUAACUGGCCCAUUACUGACGCUGAGGCUCGAAAGCGUGGGGAGCAAACAGGAUUAGAUACCCUGGUAGUCCACGCCGUAAACGAUGAGUGCUAGUUGUCGGCAUGCAUGCAUGUCGGUGACGCAGCUAACGCAUUAAGCACUCCGCCUGGGGAGUACGGUCGCAAGAUUAAAACUCAAAGGAAAUUGACGGCUUGAGACGNGCGAGAGACGACGAGGAGAG